UGGUAAAUCAUAAUAAUAGCGAGACAAUAACAUUGAAGUGUUGACGUGUGGAUUGAUGAAGAAAGGUUUCAAGCAUGGUGUCUAAAGCUCACAAUGCAUCACCCAUACUGGAAAUGGACCUUGAACAAUUAUCACCUCGGAAACAGUGUUCCACCUCAUCAGACUGAAUGUGGCAACAGGCUCAGGGGCGAUCAAGACUGAAAUAUCACCAUAACGAAAGUGUACAUUGGGCAAAUAUCAUCUCGAGAAAUUGUUUUUCAACUCCAUCGUACUGAAAGGGACAAGCCCGGAAUGAAAGAAGUUGGGGGUCGCUUUUUGGAGAACUACUUCCUUCAGCGGACAGCCGAGGACAGAGAUGGGAGCCGGAUUUUCUCCAACCUUGCCGAUUCACACGCACCUGAUAAAUUCACAGUUUCGAGUGUCGGACGGAGGCAGUGAAGUGCAGGGAAGGAACGCGCCAAAGAUCAUGAGAGUUCGGUAACGCACACCUGUGAAGACAAAAUCCCCUCUUCCUGGAAACUAUUCACAGUGGCAUCAUGUGAACUCCCAAGUUACAAACUUCGUUGGGGUCCGUUACGAGUUCA